CCCUAGUAACGGCGAGUGAAGCGGGAACAGCUCAAAUUUGAAAUCUGGCCUUCGGGUCCGAAUUGUAAUUUGCAGAGGAUGCUUUUGGUUAGGUACUUUCCGAGUUCCCUGGAACGGGACGCCUUAGAGGGUGAGAGCCCCGUACGGUUGGAUACCGAGCCUUUGUAAAGCUCCUUCGACGAGUCGAGUAGUUUGGGAAUGCUGCUCUAAAUGGGAGGUAAAUUUCUUCUAAAGCUAAAUACCGGCCAGAGACCGAUAGCGCACAAGUAGAGUGAUCGAAAGAUGAAAAGCACUUUGAAAAGAGGGUUAAAUAGCACGUGAAAUUGUUGAAAGGGAAGCGUUUAUGACCAGACUUUUUCCAGGCGGAUCAUCCGGUGUUCUCACCGGUGCACUUCGUCUGGUUGAGGCCAGCAUCGGUUUUCGUAGAGGGAUAAAAGCUUUAGGAAUGUGGUUCCUUCGGGAAUGUUAUAGCCUAUUGUAUAAUACCUUUAUGGGGACCGAGGUUCGCGCAUCUGCAAGGAUGCUGGCGUA
rnacentral:rRNA from 1 species